rnacentral:ncRNA from 2 species
CUUUCAGACAUUCUCCGAACCGUUAGCCUAAGGAUUCGUCUCCGGAUCUAAGGCGACCGGUCCCGGGCAGUCGUAUGGCUGUCCAAGGGCUGGCUGAGAAAUCAGGCAACCUCCCGAAAUUUGGAAAGGAGUUCCCAAAUGAAAAAG